rnacentral:tRNA from 1 species
UCUCUCGUAGCUUAGUAGUUAAAGUCUUGGUGCGUAAAGGCGAAGGUCUCGGGUUCGAUUCCCGGCGAGGGUG